GGUGGGUUGUCCGAGUGGUUAAGGAGCUGGCCUUAAGAUCCAGUGGCAUUUGCUUCGCGCGUUCGAACCGCGCACCCACCA
rfam:Aspergillus flavus AF70 601, whole genome shotgun sequence.